rnacentral:lncRNA from 1 species
GCUCUCGACGAGCAGCCCACUCCUGUGACCCAGCUUGCUCCAACCGAACAGCCCACUCUCGUGGCCUAGCCUGUUCCCGAUGAGCAGUCCACUCUUAUGGCCCAACCUGCUCCAGCCAAGCAGUCUACUCUCGUAGCCUAAAUCGGUCCAAGAUUAGUUCAACCAUCCCGGUUUCAAAUUUUUGGGCUUACGAUAGAACCAAUGGGCAUUCUCACCAAAUUUCUCCGUGGAUUUGACAUUUCCCAACUCAAAUCUCGUGC